ensembl:lncRNA
CUCUUCAUAUCCCUUCCUAAAAAACUUAGUCCUAAACCCUUUAGUUAGGGCAAAGCAGGGGCACGAGGAGGGAUGUGGGAGCCCAACCAAAACAAGCAAAGUUUCCAAAUAGGACUGCCCAUUGCAGGAAUGAGCCACAAGAGUGAGGAAGGGUCCAUGCGGAGGAGUGGCCCAGUGCAGGGUGUCAGAGCUCCAGCAGGGUUAGAAGGAAAUCCCUGCAUAUGAGAAUGUCAUGGGGCUUUGGAACCCGAGAAGGUGAGGAGGAUGACCAUGUGGGAGUUCAGCCUUUACAGGGAUUCAUGUUUAAGUAGAGUAAAGAGUGGCCUCAGAGGGUGCAGCCCAGCAUGGGUUUCAGAAGCCAACAGGGAUGAGGACAUCCACAUAGAAGAGUUUCCCAGUAUAGAAGAUACAAUGAAAAGGACAUUUGUAAACCAAAAGAGGAUAUGCACACAACAAAAUAGACGUCUGAGAGAUCCAUGCAGCCAUAAAUCUGAAGGUGGAGGUGCUGGAAGAAGGUAAGGGGAUCUCCUUUUCCUCCCUGAAUGGCAGUGAUGUAGGGCAUGGGACUGUGUAUGGCAGCCAGCAUGCAACUCUGAGAGGAGAUGGGGAAAAGGAAGCUCUCUGCAGGAACGCCUUUGCUCUUGGAGUUGCCUCCCAGUCCAUGGGAACGCUCCACACUGAGGAGGCUAAACAAUCAUGUGGGCAUCAUCACCAAGCUGAGCAGCCCAGGAGGGCAGACAGCAAAUGCAAAGCGGGAGUGGCCAGGAUCAGGCACAUGACAGAAAGCACCUCCCACCUGCCCAGUCCACCAACUUGGCUGGUCGACCAGAGCAGAGGACCAGCACCAGAGUUGCCUGUGCACCUACAUGUGUAAAGCAGUGGUGGCCAGAGGGCAAAUGCAGACCGGCCCUGUCAACACAGUUUCCAAAGGACAGACACAGCUGCCAGGGGUCACAGUGGGCUCAAAAUACACAGCUCCUGCCCCCCCACAGUGGCAGCAGGUGGAAUCUGCAACCAGAUACUACCACUAUGUGAUGGCACAAAUCCACCUCAUCAAAUAGUGUAAAGGUAUAUUAACGCUCCAGACCAGAAGGAAAAUGACAAGUACCCAGAAAUCAAUCCUGAAACCACAGAAAUUUACAAUGUAAAUGACAGAGAAUUCAAAAUAGCUAUCAUAAAAAAAACUCAAGAGUUACAGGGAAACUCAGAAAGAUAGUUCAAUGAAAUCAGGAUUAAAAUUAAUGAACAGAGGGAAUUCUUCACAGAAGAGAUUGAAACUAUAAAAAAAAAUCAGAAAUGUUGGUGAUGAAAAACACAAUGAAAGAGAUAAAGGAAAAUCUAAGGGCCCUAAAUAACAGAGCUGGUAUUAUGGAGGACAGAAUUAGUAAUUUGGAGGACAGAAAUAUAGAAAUGCUUCAGAUGGAGGAGGAGGGAGAAGUAAGACUAAAAAGAAAUCAAGAAAUUGUCCAAGAAAUAUCUGACUCAAUUAGGAAAUGCAACAUAAGGAUUAUAGGUAUUCCAGAGGGAGCAGAGAGGGAGAAAAGAGCAGAGAGCCUGUUCAAAGAAAUAGUAGC